AACGAACGCUGGCGGCAUGCCUAACACAUGCAAGUCGAACGAGACCUUCGGGUCUAGUGGCGCACGGGUGCGUAACGCGUGGGAACCUGCCCUUAGGUUCGGAAUAACUCCCCGAAAGGGGUGCUAAUACCGGAUAAUGUCUUCGGACCAAAGAUUUAUCGCCUUUGGAUGGGCCCGCGUUGGAUUAGCUAGUUGGUAGGGUAAAAGCCUACCAAGGCGACGAUCCAUAGCUGGUCUGAGAGGAUGAUCAGCCACACUGGGACUGAGACACGGCCCAGACUCCUACGGGAGGCAGCAGUGGGGAAUAUUGGACAAUGGGCGAAAGCCUGAUCCAGCAAUGCCCCGUGAGUGAUGAAGGCCUUAGGGUUGUAAAGCUCUUUUACCCGGGAUGAUAAUGACAGUACCGGGAGAAUAAGCUCCGGCUAACUCCGUG
rnacentral:rRNA from 1 species